GAUGAACGCUGGCGGCGUGCCUAAUACAUGCAAGUCGAGCGAACGGACGAGAAGCUUGCUUUUCUGAUGUUAGCGGCGGACGGGUGAGUAACACGUGGAUAACCUACCUAUAAGACUGGGAUAACUUCGGGAAACCGGAGCUAAUACCGGAUAAUAUUUUUAACCGCAUGGUUCAAAAGUGAAAGACGGUCUUGCUGUCACUUAUCGAUGGAUCCGCGCUGCAUUAGCUAGUUGGUAAGGUAACGGCUUACCAAGGCAACGAUGCAUAGCCGACCUGAGAGGGUGAUCGGCCACACUGGAACUGAGACACGGUCCAGACUCCUACGGGAGGCAGCAGUAGGGAAUCUUCCGCAAUGGGCGAAAGCCUGACGGAGCAACGCCGCGUGAGUGAUGAAGGUCUUCGGAUCGUAAAACUCUGUUAUUAGGGAAGAACAUAUGUGUAAGUAACUGUGCACAUCUUGACGGUACCUAAUCAGAAAGCCACGGCUAACUACGUG
rnacentral:rRNA from 1 species